UGGGGAAUAUUGGACAAUCGGCGAAAGCCUGAUCCAGCCAUGCCGCGUGUGUGAAGAAGGUCUUCGGAUUGUAAAGCACUUUAAGUUGGGAGGAAGGGCAGUAAGCGAAUACCUUGCUGUUUUGACGUUACCGACAGAAUAAGCACCGGCUAACUCUGUGCCAGCAGCCGCGGUAAUACAGAGGGUGCAAGCGUUAAUCGGAAUUACUGGGCGUAAAGCGCGCGUAGGUGGUUCGUUAAGUUGAAUGUGAAAGCCCCGGGCUCAACCUGGGAACUGCAUCCAAAACUGGCGAGCUAGAGUAGGGCAGAGGGUGGUGGAAUUUCCUGUGUAGCGGUGAAAUGCGUAGAUAUAGGAAGGAACACCAGUGGCGAAGGCGACCACCUGGGCUCAUACUGACACUGAGGUGCGAAAGCGUGGGGAGCAAACAGG
rnacentral:rRNA from 1 species